ACAAAAUGGCGGCACCCAAAAUGGCGGCGCCCAGACGAGAGGAAAAUUUUUCAGCUACAUCACUUUGCCCCAUUCGGCACACCUUUGUUAUAUUCGCCUACACAUUGCCGUAAGGCGAGCUACGCGCUCGCAAUUGCGCUUCGCGCAAUUGCUCGCAAGCUACGCUCGCUUACAAGACCUGUCGGCUCAGAAUAUGCUGUGAAUAGCCCAAAACAUCCGGGUUGACGUCAUUUCGACAUGUACAAUGAUCAGAUGAAGUAGGCAUCGAAAUCAACGAUUGUCCACAAAACGCUUGAUUUAGCAAUGGUCUGUGUUGAUGCUAUUUUCUCUGAAAUAAACUGUCUGUAAUCUGCAGCCAUUCAGCUACUGUUCCAGAAACUUGAAGGCGUAAAAAGUGAGCUGCCAUUACCACAGUACCUCAGAUAUGUAGGAACCAUGACAUUCGGGCAUUUCUGUUCUGUUGAAAUAAUACUUGAGCUGGAACCAUGACAUGAAAGAAGACCUUAGGAAAUAUAUGCAAGUGGAGAUUGAGACAUUAAAUUUGAAAAAUAAAAAGACUUAUGAAGCAAAUAGCAAGUUUUGAAUGCUUCAAACUAACUGUUAGUAGACUUUGGAUGAUUUACUGCAAACGUAGUGCAAAAAAGACUCAGAUACAAAUGUAUCAUAACAAUGCUUACAUGCCAAACUUCCAGGGCAUCUAUACAGGAGAAUUCAGUUGAAAGUCCAGGAGAUUUCAGAAUUUACAUUGUACCUAGUUUAAUAGUAUAAUAAAAAAGAUAGUUCUGAAUUCUUUUUGGUAAAUCUGAUUCAUUUUUAGCUCAUCUGAUUUUUUGAAAAAAAAUGAUGAGUUAUUGUCAUCACUUGAGCGGUUGUCGGCGUCGGCGUCUGCGUCGGCGUUGCCUGGUUAAGUUUUAUG
rnacentral:lncRNA from 1 species